CAAAAACACAUUGCGUGACGAUAAAACUUCCAGUUCCCGUCUUCAAAACGUCAUUCCGAGAGACUAUUCGCCUGGAACCCUCGCCUUUUUUUCAUUAUGUGCUCAUCCCUAAAAGAGCCAAGAGCUCUCAAAAACUGCUGGGGAUCUUCGUGAAAAAAUGUUUGGUUGAAAAUUGUUGAAGCAUCUUGAAUUACCAUUUACUAAAGGACCAAGUAUACAUUUUGAAAUAGGCUCCGAAAGAUUGAAGCAUAUUUUGAACUAGAUAAUAUUAAUUAAAUUCAUUUUGUUGGUGUUAACUUUUAUUUUAAGUUGCGAGCAUGUUACCGUAAGAACCUUUUUCAUUUUUUAUUUUAAAUAAAAUUUUACAAUUU
ensembl:lincRNA linc-73 ncRNA